rnacentral:rRNA from 1 species
AUUGAACGCUGGCGGCAGGCCUAACACAUGCAAGUCGAGCGGAUGAAGGGAGCUUGCUCCUGGAUUCAGCGGCGGACGGGUGAGUAAUGCCUAGGAAUCUGCCUGGUAGUGGGGGAUAACGUCCGGAAACGGGCGCUAAUACCGCAUACGUCCUGAGGGAGAAAGUGGGGGAUCUUCGGACCUCACGCUAUCAGAUGAGCCUAGGUCGGAUUAGCUAGUUGGUGGGGUAAAGGCCUACCAAGGCGACGAUCCGUAACUGGUCUGAGAGGAUGAUCAGUCACACUGGAACUGAGACACGGUCCAGACUCCUACGGGAGGCAGCAGUGGGGAAUAUUGGACAAUGGGCGAAAGCCUGAUCCAGCCAUGCCGCGUGGGUGAAGAAGGUCUUCGGAUUGUAAAGCACUUUAAGUUGGGAGGAAGGGCAGUAAGUUAAUACCUUGCUGUUUUGACGGUACCAACAGAAUAAGCACCGGCUAACUUCGUG